CACACCUUGAGUGUGAGCUCUUUGAAACCCUAUAUGGACACGGACCAGGAGAAGUUGGACGCUUUUUAGAAUUUCUUCUCGUACCGCUAGUGUCAUGGGCGGAGGGGAGCGAGGCUGCCAUCUCCGAAGACAACACGCCUCUGAGUGUGCGCCUCCUAGUUUGAGCGGCAAUGUUCCCCGCGUUCAAUGAGAAAAUCCAAUGCCCCAGCGCUCAGAACUCCCAUCUAGUAUUGACGCAAGAGCUCUCCCAAAUGUCGACCGCAAAGUCGUUAAAAAAUAGUUGCGACGAUCGGCUCGACAAGCUGAAGACCCCGCCACUGAAUGCAUUUGAAACGACACCUGUACUCUCCCAUUGCCAGGCCCAAAGCCCAAAGACGUGUUGUUCAUAGGUGUUUUUCACAAUACUAGUGUUGCUGAUCGCGGAGGACCACUGUCCACUGCUCGUCCACCGUGGCGUUACUGCUGAUGAGGCUCAGAGCGCAUGUUUACUGUGAACAUUGAACAACCUGUUGAAAUAUAUACCUAAUGAAUA